CAGGUCCCGGUGGAUAAAGACCAGGUUGAACUGCACCAGCACGCAGGACAGGAGGGCGAAGAGCAGGGUCAGCGCCUGCCAGAUGCGGUCCCCCGCCGAGCGAAACACUGACAUCUGCAGACAAGUUGUUAACUUGUCUACCUCUUAAAAGCUACAAUAAAGUUUGCAACAGGGGACCCAGCAGGACACAGAACAGCAAUGCUUUCUGGAUGGAUGUGAAGAGCCCUGUAUUACAGACAUGAUUAAGCAGGUGAAAUACUC